CAAUAAAGCAAUCUGUACUUGACAUCGAACGGUUUCCAAGAACAGGUGUGGACGAGCACACACUAAACAACUUUCUUGGAAGACUAGCACGUAGGCUUAGGCGUGCUGCAGCUCGGUGCGGUUGCGGUACUAGUGCUGCGAUGAAUGUGCAUGUGCCACAGGAACGACAAUGCAACACACCUGUUGUGCAUGGUACAUCUUCUUUGGGAGGAUCUGGAGGACAGAGCUCGUCUCGGCCAACUAUGGACACUUUUCAAAGCGAUGAUGAUGAGGACGAAGAGGGGGUGGCCGAGGAGCGUGACUAUGACGAGCUUGGGUUAUCUCAGCUUCCUGAUGCUCCUUCUACUCAGCCUACGCAGGUUGCAAGAAGGCGACGUCGUUCGCCUUGUAGGUACACUCCAGGCACCGAUGCUCUUGGCCACAAGGGUAAGGGUAAGACUAGAAGGCAGUGAGGAUGACUUCUGUGCUAACACCAUGGUAGCAGCUUAGAAUUGAUGGCAUAACUUCUGUUAUUUUGCAUGUAUCGACAUUGUGAACUUUGUGGACUAUUUGUACUAUAUGGGACUGUAUGGUCUCUGUGGACUAUCUGAACUAUCAUUCCUGAUGGCGUAUGUGCUUGUGUUGUGAUAUUUGGAUGAAUCAAUGUUUGUAUUGUACUGUGAUGUCUAUUUAUAACUGUGGAUGUACCAAAAAUAGGGGAAACUCUUGCAAAUUUUUUCCAUGAA